UAUGGCAGAUUAGUGCAAUGGAUUUAAAUUCCUUUUAUAAAGACCACCUUCUUUUAUUAAAA
rnacentral:tRNA from 1 species